rnacentral:rRNA from 1 species
GUAAGUCNGUGGUGAAAUCUCCGNGCUUAACNCGGAAACUGCCAUUGAUACUAUUUGUCUUGAAUANUNUGGAGGUAAGCGGAAUAUGUCAUGUAGCGGUGAAAUGCUUAGAUAUGACAUAGAACACCAAUUGCGAAGGCAGCUUACUACACANNNAUUGACACUGAGGCACGAAAGCGUGGGGAUCAAACAGGAUUAGAUACCCUGGUAGUCCACGCCCUAAACGAUGNAUACUCGACAUUAGCGAUACACNGUUNGUGUCUGAGCGAAAGCAUUAAGUAUNCCACCUGGGAAGUACGAUCGCAAGAUUGAAACUCAAAGGAAUUGACGGA